GCAAAAAGUCAGUGGCAGUGGCAAGCACUCAGCACCUUUGGCAACCAGGCCAGAAGACAUUCUCUUCAUCUUCCCACAGGUGGAUUGAAUAAGAAAGACACCAUGAAUAGUUCAAAGCUUUAGAAUGAACAAGUGCACUUUGUCACAUUUUCAGGUCUGUGCUCUCUCUCACCUUGCAUUUUUGACAUCUUUUCAAACUAAAACAGUGAGAGAAACAGCCUGCCCUGAAGCUGGUCUCUCUGGUUUAAUUAAAAGCUUUAUUUCAGCUUUGUGUAAACUGUGUGUGCUAAAUGACAGCAAUUUCAGCAAAGAAGAAUAUUGCUUGCCCUCCCACCAGUCAUCUCCAGGUCAACUGCAGAGAGCUCAAAAUACUUAUGCUCUACACUUCUUUAGACACCCACUCCCCCACCAUCAGGAUCAGUGAGAGAAGUGGACCAAUAACAGUUGGAAGACCCAUGGGUGAAGAUAAAGGCAGUUUAAUUGGAAAAGCAAAAGCCAUGCACAUAAGCAAAAAGAAACAAAGAAUUAACUCACUGCUUCCUGUGGGCUGGCAGAUGUUCAUCCAUCCCCAGGAAAUCCAGGAUCCUUCAUGAGUAAUGAUUACACUUGUGAUUUUUUGCUGGAAAAAACCCAACCCAACAAACAUCAAAUAAAGAAUGAAGAAUCUCAACCACUUGCUGCCAAAACAGGAGAGCCACAAAGGUGACAUAAUGAGCUGCAUCUUAGCAGAGUCUUUUUCAAUGCAACUGCUGUGGCUGAAAGCUCUAAGUGCCACAGAUCAGCAAUCCUAUUCCAUUUAGACCUGCUGGCAAUAGCUGGAAAAUCGCCAUGGUGAAUACCUCAAACAAGAACACUUACAGUGCCU